AUUGAACGCUGGCGGAAUGCUUUACACAUGCAAGUUGAACGGUAGAGGGGGCAACCCCUCGAGAGUGGCGAACGGGUGAGUAAUAUAUCGGAACGUGCCCAGUCGUGGGGGAUAACGUAGCGACAGUUACGCUAAUACUGCAUACGAUCUAAGGAUGACAGCGGGGGAUCGCAAGACCUCGCGCGAUCGCAGCGGCCGAUAUCAGAUUAGGUAGUUGGUGGGGUAAAGGCUCACCAAGCCAACGAUCUGUAGCUGGUCUGAGAGGACGACCAGCCACACUGGAAAUGAGACACGGUCCAGACUCCUACGGGAGGCAGCAGUGGGGAAUUUUGGACAAUGGACGCAAGUCUGAUCCAGCCAUUCCGCGUGCAGGAUGAAGGCCCUCGGGUUGUAAACUGCUUUUGUACGGAACGAAAAGGUCUCUCUUAAUACGGGGGACUCAUGACGGUACCGUAAGAAUAAGCACCGGCUAACUACGUGCCAGCCGCCGCGGUAA
rnacentral:rRNA from 1 species